rnacentral:rRNA from 1 species
AUUGAACGCUGGCGGCAGGCCUAACACAUGCAAGUCGAGCGAGAAAGGUCUUCGGACUGAGUACAGCGGCGGACGGGUGAGUAAAGCGUAGGAAUCUACCUGGUAGUGGGGGGAUAACUUGGGGAAACUCAAACUAAUACCGCAUACGCCCUACGGGGGAAAGCGGGGGACCGUUCGGGCCUCGCGCUAUCAGAUGAGCCUGCGUAGGAUUAGCUAGUUGGUGAGGUAAAGGCUCACCAAGGCGACGAUCCUUAGCUGGUCUGAGAGGAUGAUCAGCCACACUGGGACUGAGACACGGCCCAGACUCCUACGGGAGGCAGCAGUGGGGAAUAUUGCGCAAUGGGCGAAAGCCUGACGCAGCCAUGCCGCGUGUGUGAAGAAGGCCUUAGGGUUGUAAAGCACUUUCAUUAGGGAGAAAAGUUGGUCGUUAAUAGCGGCCAGCCCUGACAUUACCUUUAGAAGAAGGACCGGCUAACUCCGUGCCAGCAGCCGCGGUAAAG